rnacentral:rRNA from 1 species
UGGGGGAUAUUGCACAAUGGGCGAAAGCCUGAUGCAGCGACGCCGCGUGGGGGAUGAAGGCUUUCGGGUUGUAAACCUCUUUCGCUAUCGAACAAGGCCCGCUUGGGUGGGUUGAGGGUAGGUGGAGAAGAAGCGCCGGCUAACUACGUGCCAGCAGCCGCGGUAAUACGUAGGGCGCGAGCGUUGUCCGGAAUUAUUGGGCGUAAAGGGCUUGUAGGCGGCUUGUUGCGCCUGCUGUGAAAACGCGGGGCUUAACUUCGCGCGUGCAGUGGGUACGGGCAGGCUUGAGUGUGGUAGGGGUGACUGGAAUUCCAGGUGUAGCGGUGGAAUGCGCAGAUAUCUGGAGGAACACCGAUGGCGAAGGCAGGUCACUGGGCCAUUACUGACGCUGAGGAGCGAAAGCAUGGGUAGCGAACAGG